UCGAACGGAAACCCUAGGGUUUCCGCCGCCGACGCCAUUGCCGCCGUCCCUGCCGUGCCAUCUCUGCCGCCGACGCCUUCUCCUCCGUCCACCGAGCCGCGCCACCUCGCCGUCACCGACCCCGCCGCUCCCGCGACCGCCCGAUUGCCAUCACCCAUCCUCGGCCGCCUCCUUCUCGCGGUCGACCACAGCGCCAUCGCCCGAGACCUCCGCCGCCUCCUUCUCCUUCGUCAACCGAGCCGCACCGCUUCGCCGUCGCCGUCCCCGCCGCUCCCGCAACCGGCCGAUUGCCACCACCCAUCCUCGGCCGCCUCCUUCUCGCGGUCGACCACAGCGCUAUCGCCCGAGACCUCUGCCGCCUCCUUCUCCUCCGUCAACCGAGCCGCGCCGCUUCGCCGUCGCCGUCCCCGUCUCCGCCGUCGCCACCAGAGCUCCACCGUCCGCGCCUCUCCAUCAUUCACCAUCGACUCAUCUCACGAGUUCACAUCAGCCAUCCGACCGCCCUGCAAAGCCCCCUUUCAACGGGCCUAUUCUUUCCCAAGAAGCCACAGCAUCCCUCCCCAGUCCAACAGAGUUCACCCGAGCUCAACUGGCCCGAUCACACUCCACAGUCUGCAACCGUUUCUCUCCACAGCAGGCCAAAACCCAUUUUAGUCCAAGCCCGUGCGUGUCUCCUUGAGCGCGGCCCAAGGCCUUUGGCUGCAGGUCCGAUCUCAGGCCCAAACCAGAUUAUUCUUCAGCCCAAUUCAACAGCCCAGGAAGCCUUGGGUUCAAUUCCAUAACUCCAGCUAGUUCUGCCCGGCGCCAACUUCGUGUUCGAGACUCCACGAGCAGACGAUUCUGGUCAACUGUAUUCACCACAGGUAAUAGGUUCUUCCUCCUUUGGGCUUGCUUAUCUAAAUAUGUUCUAGUUCUCUUGCAUGACAGCCCUAUUUUGAAACUUAUUUUCUUGUCAAACUGCAAAAACCUAGAACAUUUUCCACCACACCCGUCCUACCUCCCAAUUAAAUCUAAAUAUUAAAUUAGCACACCUUAGUGUCAGGACAUCAUCAACAUCCAUAGAUCAGAUUACUUUUAGACUUUGAAUGACUGUAAAACGUGUUUGCAACCUAACUUCUUAUAGUGACUAAUUUUCUACUUUAAUUCUGAAAUAA
rnacentral:lncRNA from 1 species